AAUUGAAACCAAAAUAGAGGUAUAUUACUGUUAAUAAUAUUAAUGAAAUAUUUCCAAUUAAA
rnacentral:tRNA from 1 species